UCCGGCUUGCCGCCGGCAGUCCCUCCAGAGUGCCCAACUAAAUGAUGGCAACUGAAGGCAAGGGUUGCGCUCGUUGCGGGACUUAACCCAACAUCUCGCGACACGAGCUGACGACAGCCAUGCAGCACCUGUCUCCGUGCCCAUUGCUGGGAAAGUCCAUCUCUGGACCGGUCACGGGAUGUCAAGGGCUGGUAAGGUUCUGCGCGUUGCGUCGAAUUAAACCACAUGCUCCACCGCUUGUGCGGGCCCCCGUCAAUUCCUUUGAGCUUCAGCCUUGCGACUGUACUCCCCAGGCGGGGCACUUAAUGCGUUAGCGCCGGCACUCAGAGGGUCGCUCCCCCAAGCACCUAGUGCCCAUCGUUUACGGCGUGGACUAC
rnacentral:misc_RNA from 1 species